UUCGCAAUGCCCGAAAGGGUGACGAAGCGACGCCGCGUGAGUGAGGAAGGCCUUCGGGUUGUAAAGCUCUGUCAGGAGUUAAGAAAUAUAAGUGUGCUAAUACCACAUUUAUUUGACGAAGGCUCCAAAGGAAGCCACGGCUAACUCUGUGCCAGCAGCCGCGGUAAUACAGAGGUGGCAAGCGUUGUUCGGAAUUAUUGGGCGUAAAGAGCACGUAGGUGGGUUUGUAAGUCAGAUGUGAAAGCCUUCUGUUCAACGGAAGAAUUGCAUCUGAAACUGCGAGUCUUGAGUGUAGGAGGGGAGAAUGGAACUUCUGGUGGAGCGGUGAAAUGCGUAGAUAUCAGAAGGAACGCCGGCGGCGAAAGCGAUUCUCUGGCCUAUUACUGACACUCAGUGUGCGAAAGCUAGGGGAGCAAACGGGAUUAGAUACCCCGGUAGUCCUAGCCGUAAACGAUGGGCACUAAGUAGAGGGAUUU
rnacentral:rRNA from 1 species